rnacentral:lncRNA from 1 species
GGGUUUGGUAGGUGGAGUCUUGGGUUGCUGUGUUGAGGGUUUGGUAGGUGGAGUCUUGGGUUGCUGUGAUGAGGGUUUGGUAGGUGGAGUCUUGGGUUGCUGUGUUGAGGGUUUGGUAGGUGGAGUCUUGGGUUGCUGUGAUGAGGGUUUGGUAGGUGGAGUCUUGGGAUGCUGUGUUGAGGGUUUGGUAGGUGGAGUCUUGGGUUGCUGUGAUGAGGGUUUGGUAGGUGGAGUCUUGGGUUGCUGUGAUGAGGGUUUUGGUAGGUGGAGCCUUGGGUUGCUGUGAUGAGGGUUUGGUAGGUGGAGUCUUGGGUUGCUGUGAUGAGGGUUUGGUAGGUGGAGUCUUGGGUUGCUGUGUUGAGGGUUUGGUAGGUGGAGUCUUGGGUUGCUGUGAUGAGGGUUUGGUAGGUGGAGACAAAAUCUUCAUCAGCGCAAAUUGAGUUAAAUGUUCAGUCG